rnacentral:tRNA from 1 species
GCCGCCAUAGCUCAGUUGGUAGAGCGACGGAUUCGUAACCCGUAGGUCUCCAGUUCGACUCUGGAUGGCGGCACCA